GUUUUAGGCCGGUCUCAGGUUCUGGGGCCUUCCCAUGGAGAGAGGUCCAUUUGAGUUGGUCGUAGUGACAGUGAGCUUCUCUGGAAAUUGCGUAUCCUCAGCUGCCCUGCCUUCCACUCCAACUCCAGAGAGCAGCCAACGUGUCACAAUGGUCCUGCCCAUGGACCUGGAGCCUAGAGAGAAAUGAGCUCAAGAAACCCGGAGCAAGAGAGGAGUGGUCCCUGAGAAGUCAGUGGCCCUAGAUGUUGUGGCUGCUGAAAAAAAAAAAACAAAAAAAACCAAAAAGAAGAAGAAGAAGAGGCUGUGAAAGUGGCCGGCCAAGAGCGCCACAGGUUCCCUGGUUGCUUCUCAUUCCCCUGUCCCCUGCAUCCUGUCUCUUGUUAACAGAAAAAAAUGCUUUCAUUUUGA